GGCUUUGUGACCCGGGAGCUCCUCCUUCACCUCCUCCUGCCAUCCUCAGCACGAGCCAGCUGCGUGAGGGGUGCUGUGUGCUGGGCUGGAGGAUGGAGCCAUGUGCCACUCCCCCCUGAGGCACACUGGGAAGGUGCAAGCGGCGUGUUCUGAGAGUGCAGAGGAUGAAAACUUCUCACCCAGCUUUCUACAUUCAAGUUUACAAGUGCUACUCAGGAGCCACUGAUUAUUUCCAGGGGAAGAUCACCAAACCACCUAAGGCUGAGACUCCCGGGAUAGCGCAGCAUGCCCCGGAGUCCCCCAGCUCAAUUUGCUCACAACUCAGAAAGAAAACAGCCCACACUCCUUGAACUUCAGGCACUGAUGGAGGCAUUUUCCAAAGAACAGUGACAAGGACGGCCAGCACCUCGCCUGCAUUCCUCAGUCUGACUCAAGCUGCUCUUCCACCCUCCUCCCCAGCUGGAGCUGAGGCUGAGGGCAGUUGAGGGCCACCAGGGAGAAGAGCUGGGUCAGGGCCGUGACCUGCCAGCAAGCACUAGGCCAAGCAGAUGUGCCGGGACAGUUGUGGUGACAGAGCUGUGGCCAACUGCUCCCUGGGCCAAGGGUGAAGGAAGCUGUGCUCCCACUGGUGCUAGGGAAGGCUGCUGCAGGGCUGGAGGCCUGGGUGCUGGACUGCUGGGACAGGCUGCCUGCUGCACCCCCAAGCUGCAGUCAGGGCUCACCCUGAGGCCCUGAGGUGGAGAGAGAGCAGCUCUCUUGUACACACCCAUGUGCACAUGCGCACGCGCGCACGCACACACACACACACACACACGGCGCUCUCACUUCAUCCCUGAGUUCUCCCUCCCACACACAAAGCUAGUUCCCAGUUCUCCAGUCCCCCUCCAUCCCUCUCCGCUUCUGUAGUCUCUGCUGGGCUGCACUGGGGAUCUGGUCCCAAUUCCCCUCUCUUCCUUUGCUGCCCCUGUAACAAAGGGCUGGCCAUGUGACAUGAUCUCCUCAGGCUUCAGAGAAGUGAUUUUACCCUGAGCUACACAGGCAGGAAGACCACCAGCCUGCAAGGUGUGUGUUGGGUUGGGAAGAGGGGAAGGGCAGGUAGCAGGGGCCGAGGCCUGGGUUGCCCCACAGGGAAACUCACUAUCCUCAGCAGGGCCCUUCAGCCACUUUUCCAACAAACAGCAAAUCUCCACCGACUGAACUCUGACUGAGGCAAUGGGGGUAUGCCAGGCAACAAGGUGGAGGUUUGCUACCGUGGGAGCAGGGAGAGCGUGGAACACAGAUGCUCUGGGUGUUGAAGAGGAGGCUUCACCCUUAAAUCCACACCAACUGCCCCCUUCACUUCCCCCGGUGAAGAACGAAGGACCCUGUGGGAUUUCUACUUCAAAUCUCUCAUUUAUUCCGACAUCCACUUGGUUAUGACUCCAAGUUAUCAAAGAUGCAAGACAAGAAGUCUAUAGCAGGAGUGGUGAAGUGGAGGUGGAGAAAGACGGCGGAGAGGGUUAUGUUCCUGGCCCCUCCUUCGCUUCCAAUUUAGGGCACCGUUUGAAAAGAGUACAAAUAGUGUCCCUUAGCACAGACUAGACAGCAGAAAAGGACAGUGCAGUUGAGUGGGGGAAGCUUCCUUUUCCACAGGGUGGGGCCCUGCAGGUGCAGCGGGCAGGCAGGCAAUCUCGAGCCUGGUUGGAGACUGUGCCCUAAGCAGCAUGGGCUAUGUGGGGAAGAGCUGGGGCCCACCAUCUCUCCAACGCCCCAAACCCAGAUUCUGAUUUGUGGGGCUAGCAGGGCUUAGCUAGGAAAGCGGUAGGAGGGAGGGGAUUGCACAGGAUGCUUGCACUCAGGGACCCCAUCGAUCGGGGCAAGAAGCAGGUGAUGGUUAACUGGGUCUUGAUUUUUACAAAGGCAGGAUGUAUGAAUGAUGUUAUUUCUGGCAAGGAGGACGUGGCUGCUGUGGUUGAUUGGCUGUGGAAUUCCAGGGGAGCAAGGCACUAGGAAGUGGGGAACGCUGCCAGGCCCAGCAGCUCAUCAGGAGCUUGCACUUGGCCCAGUUAGGGCUGGCCGUGGGACACGCUUGUUGAAGCUGCUGCCGUAAGCUGCCCCUCUGCACCAGGAGACAGAUCCCAUUACCCCACCUACAGCUGCUUCCUGGUACGAGAAGAGUUACCAUUUGAAGUGACUCUGUAGGAGAGUCUGACAAACAUGUUUGCUUUUCACUGACAAUUAAAAUUGUUUUGCUGCU